AUUAAACGCUGGCGGCAUGCCUUACACAUGCAAGUCGAACGGUAACAGGUCUUCGGAUGCUGACGAGUGGCGAACGGGUGAGUAAUACAUCGGAGCGUGCCCGAUCGUGGGGGAUAACGAAGCGAAAGCGUUGCUAAUACCGCAUAAGAUCUACGGAUGAAAGCAGGGGACCGCAAGGCCUUGCGCGAACGGAGCGGCCGAUGGCAGAUUAGGUAGUUGGUGGGGUAAAAGCUUACCAAGCCGACGAUCUGUAGCUGGUCUGAGAGGACGACCAGCCACACUGGGACUGAGACACGGCCCAGACUCCUACGGGAGGCAGCAGUGGGGAAUUUUGGACAAUGGGCGAAAGCCUGAUCCAGCCAUGCCGCGUGCAGGAUGAAGGCCUUCGGGUUGUAAACUGCUUUUGUACGGAACGAAAAGACUCUUUCUAAUAAAGAGGGUCCAUGACGGUACCGUAAGAAUAAGCACCGGCUAACUACGUGCCAGCCGCCGCCGUAA
rnacentral:rRNA from 1 species